GACGAACGCUGGCGGCGUGCUUAGCACAUGCAAGUCGAACGGAAAGGCCCUGCUUUUGUGGGGUGCUCGAGUGGCGAACGGGUGAGUAACACGUGAGUAACCUGCCCUUGACUUUGGGAUAACUUCAGGAAACUGGGGCUAAUACCGGAUAGGAGCUCCUGCUGCAUGGUGGGGGUUGGAAAGUUUCGGCGGUUGGGGAUGGACUCGCGGCUUAUCAGCUUGUUGGUGGGGUAGUGGCUUACCAAGGCUUUGACGGGUAGCUGGCCUGAGAGGGUGACCGGCCACAUUGGGACUGAGAUACGGCCCAGACUCCUACGGGAGGCAGCAGUGGGGAAUAUUGCACAAUGGGCGGAAGCCUGAUGCAGCAACGCCGCGUGCGGGAUGACGGCCUUCGGGUUGUAAACCGCUUUCGCCUGUGACGAAGCGUGAGUGACGGUAAUGGGUAAAGAAGCACCGGCUAACUACGUG
rnacentral:rRNA from 1 species